rnacentral:rRNA from 1 species
UGAGGAAUUUUGCGCAAUGGGAGCAAUCCUGACGCAGCAACGCCGCGUGGGUGAUGAAGGCCUUCGGGUCGUAAAGCCCUGUCAGGUGGGAAGAAUGUCCCGGGACUGAACAGGUUCCGGGAGUGACGGUACCACCAGAGGAAGCACCGGCUAACUCCGUGCCAGCAGCCGCGGUAAUACGGAGGGUGCAAGCGUUAUUCGGAAUUACUGGGCGUAAAGCGCGUGUAGGCGGUCCUGCAAGUCUGAUGUGAAAGCCUCGGGCUUAACCCGGGAAGGGCAUUGGAAACUGUGGGACUUGAGUACCUGAGAGGGUGGGGAAAUUCCCGG